rnacentral:lncRNA from 1 species
UUCACAAUUAAAGGACUACUCCACUUGAAGGAUAAAGUCAUAUGACAUAAUGAUUGACAAGCAUUACUGAGAAAAAGCUAUCUUUAUUGUUGUGAUGAAUUCAUAUCCACAACACAGACUUAUUAAAGUAAUUAUUGACUUGCUUUGAUGCAUUUGAUAAUUGCUAUACAUCUUUUACUUGACUCUUUUGUUCUAAAUAUACAAGAUAUUACGAAUUUUGUAUAAUCAUUUACUUACUUACUAGAGACCUGCGCUUGCAGAUCUCAACCAAUGAAUGAAGAUCUGACGAGCUGUAUUUCAAGCUGUAUUUUAAACUCUACUUGAUGAAGUCAGAGUCGUCUGAUCAUUUUCCAACGAUCACGAUCAUUGACAACAAUUGCAGGGUUUACCGACCAUAGAGAAUUGGAGUCCGUCGAUCAGAACUUAAGAGAUUCUAGUGAUACUGUAAUGUCUUUGUCAUCUCUUACAGUUUCUUACUUUCCUUCCUUUUGUCAUAGAAUCAACAGAGAAACAAUUUCUUUCUUUUUGCAUAAGAAAGUAUGAUAAUAUUAAAAUAGAUUGAGCUUUGAGUUACUAAUUAUAGAUUUUAACACUAUCAUAUGCUUCAGAUCCUAUUUUUCAGCGAACAAUCAUUACAUUAUUGAUUUGAUUCAUGGUAUUAUGAAAUUGAAAGUCAAGCCAUGUUUACCUGUGUGGUAGACUAUUCUGUUU